CAUGUCUCGUCCCUAUGGGUCUGCCCCAGGUGCCUGAGAUGUUUCCUCUGCCGCUGACUCUACCAUCCAGUCCUUUUGCAUGAAAAAUAAUAAUAAUAAAUUUUAUUUAUGCCCCGCCCUCCCCGGCCAGAGCCAGGCUCAGGGCGGCUAACACCAGUAAAAUUACAAUAAAAACAUAAUAGGAAAAAAACCAAUUAAAAAUCCAGGUUAAAAUGCAAUUUAAAAUGCAGCCUCGUUUUAAAGGUAGCCCAUAGAUCAAAACCAUAAGGGAAGGGAAACAUAAGGGUCAGACUGAGUCCAAACCAAAGGCCAGGCGGAACAGCUCUGUCUUGCAGGCCCUGCGGAAAAAUGUCAAGUCCCGCAGGGCCCUAGUCUCUUGUGGCACAGCGUUCCACCAAGUUGGGGCCAGUACUGAAAAGGCCCUAGUUGAGACCAAUCUGACCACCUUGCGACUUGGGACCUCCAAAGUGUUGUCAUUUGUGGACCUUCAGGUCCUCCGCGCGGCAUACCAGGAGAGGUGGUCCCGUAGGUAUGUGGGUCCUAGGCCGCAUAGGUCAAAACCAGCACCUUAAACCUAACCCUGUACUCUAGCCAGUGCAGUUGGUAACCUUCCUCUUCCCUUGCAAUGGAGUUCCUGCCAUCAAGUCCCUGUUGAUUCAGCUGCAUGCAAUUGGAUUUAUUUAGCAAGUGCUGAUUAGGUCCCAGGAAUAUGAGUUGGGCUCCCAUAUUUGCGGCAGAGCUUCUGAGCGAAUGGAUCUGCUCAAAAGCGGUAUUUUGCUAGUCUGUACCAACUUAGCCAGUUCCUCCCAGCUUUUCCACACCCUCUAAUGGACCUUCUUAUCUGCCCUAGGUUAGGAAAGGAAUGAAUGCUAUGCAAGGCCGAUAAAAGAACCAAUCAUUCUUGGAAGCGAUUGGGAGCUCAGAAUUCCUUACUUGAAGGAGGGGGCCACCUGAAGGAGUUCGUGGCUACCAUUGUGCUGUUGGACUUGCAUUUAAAGUGAUUUAAAAAAAAUUAAAAGCCAAGGCUGCUUGCUAGCUGGGACAGGAAAGGGCGGUGGCAUUUUUCCAAUACCAAAACGUCGCCAAUUUAAGUGUGUGGGGGAACGUGGCAUCCUUGCGAUAGGAGGUGCUGCCUGGAAGCAGGAAAUCUGGAGCCUGUCUGCACUGCAAAGCUAAUCCCAUUUCAAGCUCAGGUAGCUGAUUUGGCACCCAACCAAACAAGGAACCCAUAAAAACACAAGAAGAGCCUUUCAAGGUCAAGUCAGCCAGGAGUCUCUCUCUAGUCCAGCCACCUGCAUCUCGCAUUGGCCAACCAAGUGCUCUCAGGAAGCCCAAAAGCAGCCCUAUUGCUCCCCUGCCAUGGGAACUAAGGCCUACAUCCGCAUGAUGCAUUUAAAGCCGUGCCGUGCCACUUUAAACAAUCACAGCUUCCUCCAAUGAAUCCUGGGAAGUUCAGUUUGUUAAGGCUGCCGAGAGUUGUUGCGGGACCCUUAUUUCCCUUGCAAAUCUACAGUUUUCAAGAGUUCUUUGGGAAGGGGGGGUAGACUGUUAAACCACUCUGAAAAUUGUAGCUUGGUUAGUGGAAUUGGGGUCUCCCUCAGCACCGUCCCAGGAUUCUUUGGGGGGAAGCGAUGCCACUGUUUGAAGUGGCAUCAUAGUGCUUUAAAUGUCAGGCCCAUUUAGCUGGCGUCCCUAAUUGGCCUGUGUCUCGCCAAUUUGUGAAAUUCCCCUGUCAAGCCCACAUCUGUUAUUGCCACAUCUUCUGACCAUGAAAUAUGUAAGCUAGAGUCUACAUUCUGUGGUUAAAGGUUUUUGGCUCUGGAAUCUUUAGCCCCGUUUUAUUACCUAAUACUAAAUCCUGAGCACUCGUAUUAACGAGAGGAGACAAAACAUUUCUCUUUGGGGCUUUGACUACCCUUCCCGUGAUUUACGGGGAAACCACGAUAGUUAAACCCAGUUUUAAGAUGGUUUAUAUUUGGGGUGCAGACGUGCCCUUGCAUCUUCCACAGCGAAUCAGUAACAGCAGCAAAAACUUUGUUCUGUAAGUUGAUUUGGCUGCAUAAAAGAUUUUGGGUCUUCUUCCUUUUUUUGCGCAAUCCAUGGUUUAGCUUGCCUCCAGAAUGCCUAGUGGUCAAUGCCUUCUUCAGAGGGUUUUUUAUGGUGCUUUUUUGGGUGGGGAGAGCCUUGAUAGAUAUCAGAGAAGAACCCACCAAUUUCCCCAAUCUACACCAAUUUUCCCAAUCACCCACCACAGCAAGACGCAGGGUCAGGCCUUCUCAGACAUUCUGGUGCCUAAGAAACAACACUCACACAAACGUGCGCAGAGUCACCCUCUCUAAAUAUAUAUAAAUAGGUUUUGGAACGAAAUGGUUUGCCGCUCUACAAUGGUGCCCAGAUUCUACCACCUGAGACAGAGGCCUUCUGCCUAGUGGUGGCGGCGUCGGGCAAACCCUACUGUUGCUAGCAUCUGCAGGAAAAUCACUGCCGGGUUGUCUGUAUGUGAAAGUGCUUAUUAACUGAACUAGGAAGCAAAUCAUUUACUUAUAUGCUGCUAAGUUAUACAGAGACAAGUGUACUUGGAUGUAAAUAACUGUUCUGUAUAUGUAUAUAUGAUUAUUAAAGCAAAACACGUGUACAAAAAAGAGAGAGCAAACUCUUGUGAGUAACUGGGCUUUGCGGAAAGAGCAGACUUUGCUGUCGAGAACGGAAUUUCUGGCAAGAAGACAACAUCUUGGAGGGUUUUCCAAAGCCCCACUGAUUUCAUGCACUCUAGAGAUUACACUAUACCUUCCUGGGGGUUACAAAUCACAUGGCAGUCUUGUUUUGGUGUAUGUCUUCUGUCUACCCAUCAAUAAUCUUGUAGGUAGGUGGGGGGAACCUGAGGAUUUUAAGCUAUUUUGAAGUGUCUGUGUGCUGUUGCUUCUAACUUGUGGUUUGAAACCAAGCUCACUUGAACAAGACCAUUUAGAUUUCCCCCACCCCUGCUCCUGAGGCACCUCCGCCUGGAAGAAAUUCCUGAGAGACACCGCUGCCUGCAGGUUCAUUGUGGACGGAAGCAGCCCAGGGGGCAAAAAACCCAAGAGGACCCACCCGUUGCCCCGUUGAAACAGCACUUUAUAAUAUUUGCUUCUGAUACCUGGCCAUUGUGACCAAAGACCUGCUUGGAUGAGCCUUCAGGAUGCUACCGGAACCAUAUUUCUAUGGGGUUUCUAGGCCUUGGCGACUGACAGAAUCCCUGCUGGGUUUUGCGUGUUGUGGGUUCCCUUGUGAGGAGGUGGCAGCCAGCACAUUUUCCAGUUGCUACUCUUUGCAUCCAUGAGGGCUAAACGCUUGCUGUUCUCCGAAGCGAAAAGCUGAGAUUCUCAGGUAGUCGGAUGCUGCGCAGGAUUUCGGUUUAGCGCAAUCGUUUGUCGCAACCGUUAAGCCACUGCUUAGCACGCUAGGCGUUGCAAUACCGAAUGGCGAGUUGGCUUUAUGGCAAAGGCCUCAUCUUUGUGGUACCUCGCAAGACGAAUGCCUCACAAGACGGAAAACUUGCAAAACAAAAGGGUUUUUGGUUUUUUGAGUUGCUUCGCAAGACGAUUUUCCCUAUGGGCUUGCUUCGCAAGACGGAAACGUCUUGCAAGUUUGUUUCCCUUUUCUUAAAACCGUUAAUACAGUUGCGACUUGACUUCGAGGAGCAACUCAUAGCACGCGGUGUGGUAGCCUUUUUUGAGGUUUUUGAAGACUUUGGUGAUUUUUGAAGCUUUUCCAAAACUUUUCUGACACCGUGCUUCGCAAGACGGAAAAAACCGCAAGAUGAAAAAACUCGCGGAACGAAUUAAUUUCGUCUUGGGAGGCACCACUGUAGGCAGCUGUGCACAGAUGCCAUGAGAAAUGGUCCUUAAUAGAUGUUUCCUAAACGCCAGGGGGAAACUGAAAGGCUGGGUGCUGAAACAAAGGCACUGUUUUAAAAUACCAGUUUCUGGGAAAUAACCACUGUGAUUUGGAUGAAAGGGGUAGCGAGCCUUUUGUUGCUGUGGAUGUCUGAGAGAUUUGGGUGUUGGUGGGGAGGCAAGAAUGGAACAAGAUACCCUUUCCCACCCUAUUCCUCUUGUAAAUCUUGCUGCUCCCCCUCAGAGGAAUUUAUUUUUAAUUCAACCUUUUUUCAUUUUUGCAGAAGUGACCGAAACUUGGCUUUUUUCUAGAGGCUGAUGUUCUUUGUGUUCAGAGAGAUGUUUUUUUAAAAACUGUUCCCUGUCACUAACCUGAAGGACAUUAACCAGCAAAAGUUGGUAAGAAUAAAUGAGACAAAACUGGAAAUAAGAAUAGAAAGAGCCUACAGCUCCCCCACCCUAACAGUUGGGAAUAAAAUCAGCAGCUGUCAUCUCUGAACUAAAAUGCAGUCCUCUUAAAGGCACACUCUCUAGUGCCUUAGCUGCCAACGAGAGAAACCUAUAUUGACCAUUCUGCGUGGUUAUGAUUUUUUCCCAGUAGCCCACUUUUGGGGGCUGAGUUACAAUCCUUCAUCUCCACCCAGAAUCCCUGCUUCAAAAUGCUUCUCUCUGCUUUCUGGUCAGCAGGAAAACUACUGACCAGAAGGAAUUGGUUCUGUACUUUUCAGUUUACAAUAGCUAGCUUCCAACUGGAGAUUCCUCAAAAGACUGGUUGUGUGUGUGUUUGCACAGUGUGGCAGAUAACAAAACAAAAUCGUAAUCGGGCAUAUUACAAGGACAUUUUUAUUGAAAUCACAAGGAGAUUUUGACUGAACAUUAAGAAGAACUUUCUGGUGGUAGGAGCUGCUCAACAGUGGAAUGGGCUCUCUCAGAAGGAGGUAGGCUCUCCUUUGGAGGUUUUUAAACAUCUGCCAGGAAAUACAGUGGUACCUCUGGUUACAUACUUAAUUCGUUCCAGAGGUCCGUUCUUAACCUGAAACUGUUCUUAACCUGAAGCACCACUUUAGCUAAUGGGGCCUCCUGCUGCUGCUGCGCCGCCGGAGCACGAUUUCUGUUCUCAUCCUGAAGCAAAGUUCUUAACCUGAGGUAAUAUUUCUGGGUUAGUGGAGUCUGUAACGUGAAGCGUAUGUAACCUGAAGUGUAUUUGAUUCCUGCAUGGCAGAGGGUUAGCCCAGAUGACUCUUUGGGUCCUGUCCAAUUCUAUGGUUUCAUCAUUCUGUAUUCAGAGCUAGGUAAUACAGAGACAUCUGCAAAAGCCCAGUGUGUGUGCACUUUGCUGCCCAUAGCAAAAAACACUCUGCAGAUAUCACACAUGGAAAAGGACAGAGCAGAAAGGGCAAGAGGGCUCACAGCUUUGUGUUAAACCAGGGAACUGGGGGAGUUCUCUGUUUCCCAAUUUGCUGUGUGUUUAAGUCCUGCAAGGCUGUAUGCACACAAUAAUUUUUGCACCUACAGUACUGUCGCCCAACGCAUGGUCACAGUUCAAAACAAGCAACGCAUGGGGGAAUUCCAUUCUACGGCUCAUUUUAAGUAUGUUACCAAACAAAAGUCUUGAAAGGCUGCGUCCAGUAAUGACUCAUUUCUUGCCGGACUUGUGGAAUUCUGGGCUGUGGAGUUCUUUUGCACGGGAAGCCUUUGCUGGCUGGAACACGAGAAGUGAGGAAAUUUAGAUGUCAAAAGUUGGCAAGACUCCAUAUAAGUUGUGCUGGAGCUGAAGUUUAUUGGGAAUGAAAUCAAUGAAAGGAUGCCUCCCCCCGGCUAAUUUCUGGUGUGUGUUGCAUCAAUUUUGGAGAGACUGAAUGGAGCUGAGACUUCACUUGCUAGGCUGAGUGACACCAGAGUUCCCACCCACCAGUCAAAAACAAUGACAAAAAUAGUUUUGCUUCCUACAGUUCAGGCCAGAUCUAGCAUCAUCUGAGGGAGAAAAGUCAGAUGGCACCCCCUUGAGGUAAAAAGCCUAAUAAAAUUAAAUGUAGUCAUUAAAUAACUGGCAAUUUCUUUAAUACCUGCCUCCUGAGACCACUGUGCCAAUUGUGGUGGCCCUGGCUGGCUGCAAAUGGGAGAAUCUUUGCUAGAUCCUGCAGGUGGGGAAAGGUGUUCAGACACAAAAGAAGCAUCAUUAUUCAGACGACCCAAAUAAUGACUAGUCAUUAUUCAGACUAGUCUUUCCCAGAGAGAUGACAGUCUGGAAUAACCUUCUCCAACAGACAGUCCCUGACUACUGGCUGCGUCGGCAGGGGCUGAUGGGAGUUGCAGGACAGCAAAAAGCUUUGGUGGGGGGCACCAAGUUGGGGACGUCUGCUCUAGGAAAACAUGGAAUAACACAAGUGAAGCUGCAGGAUUUUUAAUUAGUUGACAGGAUAACCCAGUGCGAUUUCACCAGCAAUAAGAACUCUGCUCGUUUGCAUGUUUUUAGAUUUUGCUGAUGGCUAGUAUCUUUUAAAACACAAAAUCUAGACUGGCCCUGGGUCAGCACGUUGGAAGCAAAAUGGCCUAGAUGUUAUUUUUCUCCUCUUUAAAAAGUAAACAACAAACCAUAAGCCUCAAUCUGUUUCUGUAUAUCUGCUCUUACUGUGAAUUUAAGCCAGAAGUGUACUGAAUCAAAACGGUUGAUCUUUUUGUCACAUGUUGACUGUUGAUGGUUCUUUGAACUAUGUCUACCUGAGAUUUGCAAACUAAAACCACAAAACCCACAAGAAGGGGGGCGGAAGGGACUGAAACACAAUUUUUAUUUUUUUAAAGAAUCUUUUCAGAACUAACACUCUAAAGUUUGAGGUGUGUAUCCUUUCCAACCCUUGCAUUCAGACAUUGACCCACCAACUUUGCCUUGCUGGUCAUUGUGUUUAAAAUAUUGAAGCAACCUUCCUCAACCUGAUGCCCUCCAGAGGUUUUGGACCAGACAGCCCAGCUGUGCAGCUGGGGUUGAUGGGAACUGUCGUCCAAAACAACUGGAUGGGGAAGGCUACAACAAAAAGUCCUUUUCUUUAUGUGCAGCAGAGACAUAAUAGUUUUAAAAAUAAUAAUAAACUUGUUUCACCAUC
rnacentral:lncRNA from 1 species